GAUGAAGAACGCAGCGAAAUGCGAUAAGUAAUGCGAAUUGCAGAAUUUCCGUGAGUCAUCGAAUCUUUGAACGCACAUUGCGCCCACUGGUAUUCCGGUGGGCAUGCCUGUUCGAGCGUCAUUAACCUCCCUCAAACCCCGGGUUUGGUGUUGGACCCAAGUUGUGUGAACAACUGGUCUCAAAGACAAUGACGGCGUCCGUGGGACCCUCGGUGCAACGAGCUUUUAGGAGCACGCAUCGAGUUGCAAGGACCUUCCGGGCCGGUCUCCUUUACCAUUUUACAAGGUUGACCUCGGAUCAGGUAGGAAUACCCGCUGAACUUAAGCAUAUCAAUAAGCGGAGGA
rnacentral:misc_RNA from 1 species